UGUGUACCAGUGGGGUCCCUCGGCCUGGCCUGUGCCCUUUUGCAAUCCAAGCCCCCUCGGGGGAUGUUGGAGAGCCAGUUUCGGCCUGAUCCUGCAGGCCAGGCUGAGGGACCCCACUGGUGCACG
rnacentral:pre_miRNA from 1 species